GCAGGCGGUUAUGCAAGACAGAUGUGAAAUCCCGAAGCUCAACUUCGGAACUGCCUUUAAUACUGCCAGUCUAGAGUCCGGAAGAGGUAAGUGGAACUCCUAGUGUAGAGGUGGAAUUCGUAGAUAUUAGGAAGAACACCAGUGGCGAAGGCGGCUUACUGGUCCGGUACUGACGCUGAGGUGCGAAAGCGUGGGGAGCAAACA
rnacentral:rRNA from 1 species